rnacentral:misc_RNA from 1 species
GAUGAAGAACGUAGCGAAAUGCGAUAAGUAGUGUGAAUUGCAGAAUUCCGUGAAUCAUCGAAUCUUUGAACGCACGUUGCGCCUCCUGGUAGUCCGGGAGGCAUGCCUGUUCGAGCGUCACCAAAUCCAACUCAAGCGGUUUUGCGCUUGGUCGUGGCGGAAGAGUCGGUCUGGUUGCCGUCUCCCCUCCGAAAAUCAACGGCGGAAAGUCACUGGCAGUCAGCGUAGUAGUAUCGUUCGCCGAACAUCCAGUGGCAUUUCUGCCGACGUACCCCCACAAUUCUCGUGAUUGACCUCGGAUCAGGUAGGGAUACCCGCUGAACUUAAGCAUAUCAAUAAGCGGAGGA